rfam:Muricauda ruestringensis DSM 13258, complete genome.
CAGAACGAGGAAAGAUUUGACUGAUUGCAACCUCGGCACCUUUAAUUGGGUACACGAAAAAUGCUAAAGCAGUUCAU